rnacentral:rRNA from 1 species
UCCGGGAGGGCAUCCUCUGGAUAUACAAAGUCUUUAUGUGCUGAGAGAUGGUCUCGCGUCUGAUUAGCUAGAUGGCGGGGUAACGGCCCACCAUGGCGACGAUCAGUAGCCGGUCUGAGAGGAUGAACGGCCACAGUUGGGACUGAGAUACCGGCCCAGACCUCCGUACGGGGAGGCAGCAGGUGGGGAAUUAGUUGGGACAAGUGGGGGAAACCCUGACCCAGCAACGCCGCGUGAAGGAAGAAGGCCUUCGGGUUGUAAACUUCUUUUACCAGGGACGAAGAACGUGACGGUACCUGGAGAAAAGCAACGGCUAACUACGUG